GUAAAUAUAGUUUAAGAAAAACAUUAGAUUGUGAAUCUAAUAAUAUGAGCUCAAACCUCCUUAUUUACCGAAAAAGAAUGCAAGAACUGCUAAC
rnacentral:tRNA from 1 species